GCUGGCGGCAUGCCUAACACAUGCAAGUCGAACGCUCUCGGGGCUUCGGUUCCGGGGGAGUGGCGCACGGGUGAGUAGCGCGUGGGAACCUGCCCUGUUGUGGGGGAUAACCGAGGGAAACUUCGGCUAAUACCGCAUGCGCCCGGGGGUGACUCCGGGGAAAGAUUUAUCGCAGCAGGAGGGGCCCGCGUCGGAUUAGCUUGUUGGUGGGGUAACGGCCCACCAAGGCGAUGAUCCGUAGCUGGUCUGAGAGGAUGAUCAGCCACACUGGGACUGAGACACGGCCCAGACUCCUACGGGAGGCAGCAGUGGGGAAUAUUGGACAAUGGGCGCAAGCCUGAUCCAGCAAUGCCGCGUGAGUGAUGAAGGCCUUAGGGUUGUAAAGCUCUUUCGCCCGCGACGAUGAUGACGGUAGC
rnacentral:rRNA from 1 species